rnacentral:lncRNA from 1 species
AAAAAAAAAAAAAAAAAAAGCGGGACAGACAGGGGUGGGAAGUUGGGGAGGGGGCUCUGGGAGGGGGAAGAUGUGGGUGCCCCAUGUGGAGCUAAGAAUGGAGGAGUGGCAGGGGGCACAAGGUCACAGAACCAGGCUGAGGAAGAAGAGGUUGCCUGGAGGGUGGGACCCAGAAGCUACUGAAAUGUCGCAGCAGAAAUGGCCAUUGAACGCCCCUUCUAAGGUCCUCGGUGGGAAAGUCAAGUCCUAACAUCCUACAUGGGGAAAUCUACGCAGUUAGCAGAGCCAAAUAUGACAGCGACAUGAGCCAGCCACUUUGGGAAACAGUCAAGUCCUAACAUCCUACAUGGGGAAAUCUACGCAGUUAGCAGAGCCAAAUAUGACAGCGACAUGAGCCAGCCACUUUGAACCUGACGUUUCAUCGUCACGUGAGACUGUAGCUCUCUGAGUCCCACACCCUGGUCACCUUGUCCUGGUUCCUGCACCUUUGAGGGUGAGUUAUUCAAGUCAGCCGGUGGAGUAGACGGUGCUCCUGAUCAUUCCUAAAAGGCAACAGCCUUUUCUGCAUUUCUUGCAGGAAAAGUCAGACAGAUCUGAGAAGAAAUCUCCAGAUUCCCCAGAAAGCACUCUCUUGAACAUCCUUUCCUGUGCAUACACAGCAGGUGUUUAAUUCUUGCUCUAGGGAGCAGAGCCCGUCCCAGUGUGAAGAGUGGCUUUGCACACAAGAAACUAUUUCUCCAUUGUCUCCCUAGAUUAGAGAGGCCCCCAGUUGAAACUGCUUCCCCUGAGCCUUCGGUAUUAGAAACUGGUAAAACCCCUCCAGAAGCAUCGCCCUGGAAACUUGAGCACCUCAACCCCCAAACUCAGAUCCCAGCAGAGAAAGCCUUUGGCAUCCCAGGACCGAAUGCUAACGGCGCUGAGGUCGGGUGAAUCCGCUCUGGCCUGUGGUGAUGGUGACUUGCUGUUGAGAACCUUAGUGUUUUGAGUGAACAAGAAGAAAUCUAUUCCAGCAUGAUUAUUCCAAUUGGGAUUUAGGAGGACUGGGCAUUCUCCACAUUCCAGUCUUCUUCAGUUCCAUGGGCUUAAGAGGGGGCUUAUUUUUUUCUUUCUGUGCCACAAAAACUUGGCAGCGAUGACUAACCUAGGGUAACAUGAGAAAGCUUACUAGGUCGGUCUGUGGCUUUCCUGCUAGCUUUCCUGUUUGUCAUACGACAGUGAGAC